rnacentral:siRNA from 1 species
AACCGCUAAUAACCGCUACCACCC